rnacentral:lncRNA from 1 species
UUACAAUUAACUUCUUAACUUUUUAUUAUUCAUUUUAAUUAAAUUAGUAUCAAUGAUUUAAAACCGGAUUGAACCGAUUGAUUCGACUUAUCAGACUUUAAACUAUUCUAUCAAGAUCUGAUUUCAAUCUAUUAAACUGAAUAAGACUAAGAACAAUAGGGAACUGUUAAAGAUAAUAAACGUUUUAAACAGAAUGACAUUUUAACUGUUAGAGCUAAUAAAUAUUUUAAAUAUAAUUUUAAACAUAAAAAUUAAAAAGAUUAGGAUUACUGUUUAGAAAAAAUUGGUUAGGAAUUUGAAUUCGAACCCGACUAACAAUGGCAAAACCAAUUUCCGAACUUGAUGGAUAUAUUUCAAAAAUCCAUAUCUAAAUCCGAAACUGACUAAUUUUUUGAAACUCAAACUCGAAGAUCGGAACCGGUAGCAAUUAUUUCUCUUUACCAUAUUUCAAAAUAUUUUAUAUUAAAUUUAAUUUUUUAAAAUAUAAAUUCGAAUAUAAUAUUAAAUUUUAUAUAUGAUUCGGGUCGGAUUCAAGAUGGGUAUAGGCAAAAUUCAUAGUUGGUCCACAAAAUAAUCUUACGUUCUUGUUGUUAAAUAAUUUGAAACUUUUCUUAU